AUUUAAAUAAUUUAAUAAAAAUAUUGAUUUGUGGAAUCAAAAAUGUAAAUAAAUUUUACUUUAAAUU
rnacentral:tRNA from 1 species